AUGCUGGCGGAAGCUGUGUCUGCUUGUAGGACGCCAUCUCCCCACUGGGGGCCGGGCUGGGGCCGCUCCGCACCCUGGCCGGCCUCCUCCCGGCCCAGCGCCGCUGCUGCCUCCGCCCUGCGCGCUGCGCCCGCCCGCCCGCGCGGCCUGGCCAAACCGCGGCGGCGGCGACGGCAGCGGCAGCGGCGGCAGGGGCCCGCGCGGGGGGCGCCUUGGCUGGGCCCGGCGGCCGGGAGCGCGGCACAGGCGCGAGGGGCGCUGGACGCAGCCGGGAGGGUCGCGGCGCCCCUAGGCUGCCGUGCGGUGCGCCCCGCAGGCGGAACUCCUCUUCCUCCUCCUCCUCCUGUUCCUCGCCGCUCCGCCGGCUCCCUCCAGCCCAGGCUCGGCCGCCUCCCAGCUCCUCCGGAGGGGACAGUGAUCAUGCUUGAGCCCGAGUUAUUUUUAGGGAGGUACGAGUGGCAGUGGGGAGGGCUGCGGGCAGGCGGAGCCUCCUCCCCCACGGCGCUGAGGGUCGCCCCCUCCUCUCAGGGGUUUGUGCCGCCGCCCAGGGGUCUCCGAGAAUCACUUGGAUCUUCCGCGUCCCCAGUCCUCGGGCGCUCGGGUGCCUCGGCCGCCGGUCGGGAGGACGGACCGGGUGGGUCUGGCUCAGGUCCGGGCGCUGCGAAGCCCGAUCGCCUCGGCCGCCGCUCCUGGUCUCUGUCUACUGGGCUCGGCCGUCCCUCCCGACUGCUGCUGCAUCCCCUCGGGCCGCCCAGCCGCCGCCGCGGCCAGAGCACCCGGCCCGGGCUGCAGCCCUCCGGCCCAGUCGCUCUCGGCAACUUUGUUCCUCGUCUGCGCGGGGCGGAGGAGGGGGAAGAGGGUGUUUGGGAAGCGGCGAUUCCCCUCCUCUUCCUCCGCCUCUUCCUCCUCCUGCGCCUUCUCCGGCCGCCGGAGCCGCUCCUCAGGGAGGAAGCGGCCUCCGGGGCUUGUUGCUUUGUGCUGCAACCAUGGUGA
rnacentral:lncRNA from 1 species